rnacentral:lncRNA from 1 species
AGGUUCUAUUCUGUCUAUUAGUGAGAUAUACUAUGAUCUCUAUCAUAGUAUCAUUAAAACUCUUUUCAAUGGGUCAGAAUGAUUUCACACUCACUCAAUAAGGAUUAUCGAUCCAAAACAAUCCUAGUGAGCUCUUACAAUCCAUCCAUGAUAUCUAGCAGUAUGUAGUGGCAACCCAACAGAAUAAAAGUAAUAAAUUUUUAGGUGCAGUUAUCAUGUGAUUCAGUUUCUUUAUCAUGAGUCCG